rnacentral:rRNA from 1 species
GAGAAAGUCAUUAUUAUUUAAAAGUACGUGAACUGCUUAGAGGUUAAACCCGAUGAACCUAAAUAUCCAGUAUAUUGUAAUCUGUUAAUGGCGAGUAUAUUAUUUUAUAAUGUAUUAAUAGUGUGCAUUUUUUUCAUAAAAAGGACUUACAUAUAAAUUAAUUUACAAUUUAUAUAUUCUUUUAUAUAUUAUUUUUAUCAUAAAGAGUCAUGUAUAAGUACAGUAUUAAAAUAUAUAAAUUAAUUUAUUAAUUAAUUGAUGUAAGAUCGAUGAAUUUCUAGAUAAAUAGUUAUGCAUUUAUAGCUAAUGCUUACAUAAUUUUUUAUGUUUUAUAUAUAAUAUGUACAUGUACAUAUAUAUGUUUUAAUUUUAUUAACAAUGCUAUAGAGUUUUAAAGCUUA